GGCCAGCUAGCUCAGUCGGUUAGAGCGUCGUGCUAAUAACGCGAAGGUCGUAGGUUCGAUCCCUGCGCAGGCCA
rnacentral:tRNA from 1 species